ensembl:lncRNA LINC00520 long intergenic non-protein coding RNA 520
UCAGAGAGAUUGGUGGCAAGGACUCCUGGGAAGAGAAAAGCUGAAGGACACUCUGGCAAGAGGCAUCAGAGUCAAAGCUCUACACAAGGACAGUGGCUGUGAUGGUUAAAGGAAGGGCUGGAUGUGAAAAUAGCUGAUGGAGGAGUCAGAGAGCCUGGCAAGUGAUUGUUGAGAUGAAAAGAAAUGAAAAUGCCAAGAUCCCCAGCCUGUUACUGGAAGGAAAGUGACUCCAUUAAUCCCUUCAGAAGGAGCAGGUUCUGCUUAGAGGAUUGGUGUGAAAAUAAGGUUAUUAUUUGACAUAUUGAGUUGAAAACAUCUGCGGAACAUGAACAAAGAAAUGCCUUAAAGCCUGUAAUCCCAGCACUUUGGGAGGCCGAGGCAGGAGGAUCAUGAGGUCAGGAGAUCGAAACCAUCUUGGCUAACACAGUGAAACCCUGUCCCUACUAAAAAUACAAAAAAAAAAAUUAAUUAACCAGGCAUGGUGGUGGGUGCCUGUAGUCCCAGCUACUCAGGAGGCUGAGGCAGGAGAAUGGCGUGAACCCGGGAGGCGGAGCUUGCAGUGAGCCAAGAUCACACCACUGCACUCCAGCCUGGGCAACAGAGUGAGACUCCAUCACAAAAAACAAACAAACAAAAAAUGUCUAAAAGGAAAGUGGUAAUAUAACCUACAGCAGUGUACUGGGUUGAAUAAGGUCCCCCCAAAAUGGAUAUGUACCUGGCACCUCAGAAAGUGAUCUUACUUGGAAAUGGACUUAUCAAACUUAUACAUCUGAU